rnacentral:rRNA from 1 species
UACAGAGACUGCAAGCGUUAUUCGGAUUCACUGGGCGUAAAGGGUGCGAAGGUGGCCAAGUGUGUUAGGCGUGAAAGCCCGGGGCUUAACCCCGGAAUUGCACCUAAAACUACUUGGCUAGAGCAUUGGAGAGGGGAGCAGAAUUCAUGGUGUAGCAGUGAAAUGCGUAGAUAUCAUGAGGAAUACCAGAGGCGAAGGCGGCUCCCUGGACAAUUGCUGACACUCAGGCACGAAAGCGUGGGGAGCAAAAGGG